GGCGAGUGAAGCGGCAAAAGCUCAAAUUUGAAAUCUGGUACCUUCGGUGCCCGAGUUGUAAUUUGGAGAGGGCAACUUUGGGGCCGUUCCUUGUCUAUGUUCCUUGGAACAGGACGUCAUAGAGGGUGAGAAUCCCGUGUGGCGAGGAGUGCGGUUCUUUGUAAAGUGCCUUCGAAGAGUCGAGUUGUUUGGGAAUGCAGCUCUAAGUGGGUGGUAAAUUCCAUCUAAAGCUAAAUAUUGGCGAGAGACCGAUAGCGAACAAGUACAGUGAUGGAAAGAUGAAAAGAACUUUGAAAAGAGAGUGAAAAAGUACGUGAAAUUGUUGAAAGGGAAGGGCAUUUGAUCAGACAUGGUGUUUUGUGCCCUCUGCUCCUUGUGGGUAGGGGAAUCUCGCAUUUCACUGGGCCAGCAUCAGUUUUGGUGGCAGGAUAAAUCCAUAGGAAUGUAGCUUGCCUCGGUAAGUAUUAUAGCCUGUGGGAAUACUGCCAGCUGGGACUGAGGACUGCGACGUAAGUCAAGGAUGCUGGCAUAAUGGUUAUAUGCCGCCCGUCUUGAACCACGGA
rnacentral:rRNA from 1 species